rnacentral:misc_RNA from 1 species
UGCCUAAUGAACACAUUUAUUUAUUCGUUCCAAGAGUAUAGUUCACCAUGCAUGUUCCUGUCAAAUCCAAAGCAACACCACCACCAUUCUUCACAUGACGCUACACGCCGCCGACGGGUCGUCGUCGCUGAACGUCCGGCAGCCCCUGUAGGCCCCGCACGGCGCUGGCAACGGGCGGACGGUCGUGCCGUACAGCCUGCCGCAGCAGUAGCACCUGCAGCCUUCGUAGUAGCCCUGGUAGCACGGCGCGCAGCACGGGCACCCGCACGGCCCCACGGGCGGCGCCGCCGGCCACGACGGGAUCUCCACCGUCGGGAUCACGCACUCCGCCGGCAUCAGCAUCGGCAUCGGCGGCGGCGGCGGUCUCUCGUUCCCAGGCAUCGGCAUUGGCAUUGGCGGCGGCGGGUGGUGCUGGUGCUGCGGCGACGGCGGCAGGUCCAUGGGGGGCCUCAUCUCCUUGGGCGGCGGGGGAGACAUGGGUGGCUGAGGCUCCAGCUCCGCUCUGGGCGGCCUCUCCUCCACGUACUGCGGCUGAGGCACCACCGCCGCCAUCCCGCGGUCAGGCGGAGGAGGCGGGUGGUGGUGGACGUGGACCGGGGACGGCGGCAUCAUCGCCUCGGGCGGCGGAGGUCCCGGCGCUGUCUCCGGCGGCGGCGGCGGCGGAGGCGACGGAGGCCGCUCGGUCGGCGGCGGCUGCUGCUGCUGCUGCUGCUUGUUCUUGUUCUUGUUCUUGCUCUUCCCGCCGCUCCUCACUGGCGCCGGCGCCGGCGCGGGUGGCCCGUCGUCCGGCACGUUCUGUGGAGGAGGAGGCUUGCCGCCGCCGCCGCCGCCGCCGUUGGCGUCGACGAUGUAGACGUCCCGCACCACCUUGCCGCCCUUGCAGCGGAGCUUGCACGCGAGCCGCUGCGGGUCGAACGGGCCCACCAUGGUGACCGUCUUGCUCUUGUCGUCGAAGGAGAUGGUGCGGAUCCUCUCAUGGUCUGCAUAAUCCACACGAGUGAAACAGGAUGACUGAGACUGAGAUCGAGCGCUCGUAGAGGAUAUAUCAUCGUCCCA